AACGAACGCUGGCGGCAGGCCUAACACAUGCAAGUCGAACGCUCGUAGCAAUACGGGAGUGGCAGACGGGUGAGUAACGCGUGGGAACGUACCCUUUGGUUCGGAACAACUCCGGGAAACUGGAGCUAAUACCGGAUGAGCCCUACGGGGGAAAGAUUUAUCGCCGAAGGAUCGGCCCGCGUCGGAUUAGCUAGUUGGUGAGGUAACGGCUCACCAAGGCGACGAUCCGUAGCUGGUCUGAGAGGAUGAUCAGCCACACUGGGACUGAGACACGGCCCAGACUCCUACGGGAGGCAGCAGUGGGGAAUAUUGGACAAUGGGCGCAAGCCUGAUCCAGCCAUGCCGCGUGAGUGAUGAAGGCCUUAGGGUUGUAAAGCUCUUUCGCCAGGGACGAUAAUGACGGUACCUGGAUAAGAAGCCCCGGCUAACUUCGUGCCAGCAGCCGCCGCCG
rnacentral:rRNA from 1 species